CUACGGGCGGCAGCAGUGGGGAAUAUUGGACAAUGGGGGAAACCCUGAUCCAGCAAUGCCGCGUGUGUGAAGAAGGCCUGCGGGUUGUAAAGCACUUUCGGUUGGGAGGACUGCUUCUAGCACUAAUAUUGUUGGAAGUUGACGUUACCUUCAGAAGAAGCACCGGCUAACCCCGUGCCAGCAGCCGCGGUAAUACGGAGGGUGCAAGCGUGAAUCGGAAUUACUGGGCGUAAAGCGCGCGUAGGCGGCUAGAUCAGUCGGGUGUGAAAGCCCCGGGCUUAACCUGGGAACUGCAUCCGAUACUGUCUAGCUUGAGUACAGGAGAGGAGAGUGGAAUUCCACAUGUAGCGGUGAAAUGCGUAGAUAUAUGGAGGAACACCAAUGGCGAAGGCAGCUCUCUGGCCUGAUACUGACGCUGAGGUGCGAAAGCGUGGGGAGCAAACAGGAUUAGAUACCCGCGUAGUC
rnacentral:rRNA from 1 species